UACGUAGGGAGCAAGCGUUGUUCGGAUUUACUGGGCGUAAAGGGCGCGUAGGCGGCAUGACAAGUCACUUGUGAAAUCUCUGGGCUUAACCCAGAACGGCCAAGUGAUACUGUCGCGCUAGAGUGCGGAAGGGGCAAUCGGAAUUCUCGGUGUAGCGGUGAAAUGCGUAGAUAUCGAGAGGAACACCUGAGGUGAAGACGGGUUGCUGGGCCGACACUGACGCUGAGACGCGAAAGCGUGGGGAGCAAACAGG
rnacentral:rRNA from 1 species